GUGCGGGUUGCGCGCUGCCACCAACUGACUGUGGAGGCUGGAAGCCAAACUGGGUCCUCUUAAGUGCUUCAGGUGACUCUGUCACCCCCUCUGUCACUGUGACUUGCGCUUGCCUCUUGGGAGUCGUGGCGGUGGACGGCCUGGAAUCCGAGAAACGGAAACAUGGUGAGUUGUGGGGCCCAGUAUCGGCCAUGAGCACACCCUGGCCUCCCCGCGGCGGACCUGGAUCCCUCGUCUGCGGAGGCGGGGCGCAGCGUCGGGGCUGGGCCAGCAGUCGGGGAGCGGCGGUUUUUGCUCUAAGUUGUGCUGUGACCGCAAAAGGUCACUGGGGCAGCGGAAACUCGGUCUCCGAGGCCUCUUGGAAUCUCAUGUUUGGUGAUGAAAAUAGAAGAGAAACCCUCUAGUUCCUCGUCAUGGUUUUAUUCACUGGGACCUCAUGGAGUGCUGUGAACAGUAGGUAAUAAGGACAGAGAGCAAAGGUUUUCUCACAAGGAAUGGGUGAAAACCAUAACGUGUGUUUCAUUUAUAGGCAUUGGGUCAUUUUCCAACAUACUCUGGACCCUGCCAUUAGAGAGCAAUAGCAUGUAAUGUGCUCACAAUGAAGAUGUAUAUAAAUCACAUCUGCGUAUUCAUGAUGCUGUAGGUUUAUGAGGAAGUCAGUGUGGACAGAGAGUUGGUUUCUGAUGAUCAAGUCAUGGAAUCGAGGUUUGGCGAUGACAGAAUCAGACAUCGCCUUUCUAUCCGUAGACUAUAGUCUGGCAAUGUCAGGCUCACACAUCCUACCGUAUCCACAUUUGGCUAUUUUAGGACUCAGUGGUUUUUGAGGAUGUGGCCGUGAACUUCACCCUGGAGGAGUGGGCCUUACUGGAUCUUUCCCAGAAGAAACUCUAUAGAGAUGUGAUGCGAGAGACCUUGAGGAACCUGGCCUUAGUAGGUAAGGGUGACACCUUUCCUUCACUUUGUCAGAGAACAAGUUUUUCCUGCCCGUCAGCAUUGUUCUAAGAUGUAGAAUGUGGAAAGGGGGCACAUUGGUGAAUAAGCUAGGCGUGGUCGCAGCUCAUUGUAGCGCUAGAAUCUGAUAUUUUUGGUGUAAUUUCUAAUGCUUUGGAGUCAUUUUUCUGGGUUUGCAUUUUAGGGAGAAAAUGGGAAGGUCAUGCCAUUGAAGAUGAGUACAAAAAUCCGGGGAGGAAACCAAGGUGAGUCUCUCACAAUAGAAUAGAAAGUAACUGUUUCAUGUCAGAGUCCUGGUAUAUUGUGAAAUUUUAAAAACAAGAAAAAUAAAUAAGCUUGUCUACAAUUUAAAAAAAUUUUU
rnacentral:lncRNA from 1 species